UCAAAACUCUGCGUUGCCUCAACUUCUUCUCUUCCAUAUUUUCUGAGUCGGUUUGUCGUCUGUUUGUCCGUUUCUGCUGUUCCACCUUUGUUUUCCUCUUCCUUAACAUCAGAACAAAAUGACAACAGGACUUUAUUCUUAUUGAGUUAAAUUUAUAUUGAUUUACUUCUCUUUUGCCACUUAUCCUUUCUUCUGUCUUUCUUUUGCUCUCCUUGUUUUACUGUCUACCCCUUUUUUAAGCUCCCUCUCGUCUCCAGGUUCCUUUUGUCCCCUCUUGUCCCUUCACCCUCACCACCUACUUAUCUCAAUAUGUCCUUUCACUUUCCAUUUUUCCAUCCAUCCAAAUUUCCUCCAUCCAUCCGCCUCUCUUUUCAUUACUCGUCCCUGUCCUGGUGAAAAGUAGAUCCUGGAAAGUGGAGUAGAGAGAAGAAGGGGAUGGGGUGGAGAGGUUAAGACAAGGCUCCCCAGAGCCAGAGGGACAGCUUAUCCUUAUCAGGCUUCAACCUGCUUAUUAGAUCCUCCAGGACGUGCCGUGCUCUUCACUUGAGCACCGCCACCCCCUCCUCCAAUCCUCUGUCCUUGUUCCUGCCUCUCUCCCACCCUCAAAAGGAUUUUUCACACUGGAUCGUUCGUCCAGCUCUGAGGGAGAAGAGAGGCUGGGCUGCUUGGUAGCACUGAUGCCUUGCAUCAAGAAGGUUGCAGGCCGAGGAGCCUCGUCUAGCUCCUCAACCAUCUGCUGUGCCCCAGGAGCUUCCACCUCCUCCACCCAAAAGGAGCUUCGUCGGUGCCCCCAGCAACCCUCGCACAGCGCCCAUGGCAAAUGAUGAUCAUUAUUUUGGACUAAUGUCAAAGCCGAGUAAGUGGAUUUCUUAUCUGCCUACGAACACGAGGACAAAGGAAAAGACGGAAGGAGAGCGGUGUUUCCACCGGCAGCCCUCAAACCCGCAGAGAUUUGGUGAAUGCCAAACCUCCAUGUGGAGUCUUAAGAUAGACCAAGUCAGGCAGCAACAGCACCGGGUAUCAUAUCUCUGAUAUCCUCGCUAAAGACAAGACCCCUACAAAGCACCCUCGUGGUUAUUCUCACCACCCAUUCAGCCAAUGUCACGAGGCCCGGCUGUGGACACACACACACUUUGCACACCAUCUGAUCAGUCGACAUAUAUCAUAUCCUGACGAGGGGGACUCCCUCUGAAAAUAAAUGUAUAUUUAGGAGCCUCGCUGUGAGGAACAGGGUGUCAGAUCUUGUUACGACAGCCACUCCGGAGGCUAAAAUUAAUAGCUCUCAGGUCGUCACAGGAGCGACACCCAAGCUCUCAGCGAGGGUCAGCAGCGAAUUCCACAGCUCGCCGUCACAUCCACACCAAUUCCCACUAACAUGCCGAAGUCAUCUUAACAGCUGCCACUCAAUGCGUGGAGGAGGAGGACGGCCACAUGCCAGUUCGUGUCAUCUUCAUCAGCUGGCUUCAACAUUUCCCUCUUUCUAUUUUUAUAUUUCAAACCUGAUGAUCAGUCCUAAAUAUGUUUUAAUGAGGUGUUUGAGAAAAAAGCUUAACGCACAAGAGAGCAAGCUGUUGUCUCUGUCAGGCCGUCCUUCGUAGAAGCAGGACUCGGUGUGACACCAGGUCUUCAACACGUUAAGUAACUAGAAGCUUUCAUUUCAACAUAAAAGUAGAAGAACUACUUUAUUAUCUUUAUUUCACCCGGGGGUCUCGGUGCUGUUUUCACAGAGGAAGCUAUAAAUAAUGAAGUAUGUGGUUGGAACUCAGAGCGGCAGAAGAGUGCCUGCCUCAUAACUGGGAGGUUGUGGGUUCAAGUCCUUUUCGGUCUGUUGCAGUCGUGUCCUUCAGCAAGACUCUUCACCCUUAAAGGAACCGUUAGGCUUAGGCAACUCUUCCAAACAAACCCAAAACGAGCCUGCUCAGAUGCGUUUUCUUCAACCGACGGGUUUCAGGAACGUUUUCCAGUUGAUCGUAUUUUUGUUAAAAUACAAAUCAUAAAAGUGUGUAAUUAUAGCAGCAUUUCAGUUCAAACAACAAAGGUACAAAUAAUAAUACGAAUUGUGAUACUUGGUGCCUCAUGACAGCCCUGUGGUGUUCUGUGGUGUAACUGUGGCGAGUCUACAGUUAGGGACCACCCUCUCCUUCCAGAUGAGCGUGUAGGCGCCUCCAAGUGCAAUCUCUCUCUCUCUACCGCACACACACAGAUACUCAUCCCCUCUGCAGGUGCAACACAAUCACACCAUCAGAUAGUGUUAAAUGAGGGUCUAAUGAGAGCUGACACGAGACAGAGCAAUUAGACCUCAUCAGUUCCUGUCUUCCCUCUCCGAGGGGCCAGCAAACACCCCAAUGAACAACUUGAUCAGUCAGAGGGCGACGCGACAACAGGAAGGCUGCACCUGCGGUGGCAGUCUCUAUAAAUGUAGUGGAAUUCAUUUUUAAUUAUGAUUAAUAAGAUGUGAUAUUCCACACAAAUAUGAAAUAUCUUAAAGAUCUUUGAAUGUUUAAUCAGAAGAUUCUAGGGUUCUUUGCUUCUUCAGGGACCAUAAACACACUUCGUAUUAAUUCAGAGUCACUAUAUAGUUUAUAAAAUGAUUUUAAUUAUUUUACCUAAACUAAUGAUACAUGACAAGAUAUGAAUAAUGAGAGGUGGUGUGGUGGAUGUGAGGUGUUGUGAUGGAAGCUAGAUGUUGUAGCAACCGUUCUUUGCUUCUGAGAGAAAUUGUGAAAUCUGGGUGUAAAAUAACUUGUUGUUUAUAAAUAAACAACUCUCUAGUUUAUAACAAACAGCAUCAGCCACCAGUAUGCAGGCUUACGAUACCCUGGUAUGAGUCGCUCCCGGUGGUUCAGAGGGUUGCGGUCAGAGUGGUGAGGUCAUCGGACGUUGAAACCACGAUACUCAGAGUUUAGUAGCUUCCUCUGAGUUCAGCUUCCCCGGCCCUGAGAUGCAACCCGGGUCUGCAGGUUGGGUGUCUCAGGUGGACGUCUGAGUUGAAGCAGCUCUGAAAAGAGCUGUUGUGUCUGUAAUCACUCGCAGCGUCGCAGAAAGGUUUUGACUUAAGGUCAAAGGAGUUUGUUUCAAAAGAGUCUUCUUUCCCGAUUCGGCCGAACCGGGUUCAGCUGGAAACUGAAUUAAUCAGGAAGUAAUUCUUGUUUCAUUAAACUACUUUGUCAUGAUGUCUGGCCAAGUUCGGCCGAUCAGACUUCGACACGUUUCUGAGUAUUUACCAACAUCCCUCAGAAAGCCACGCCUUCUUCAGACACAAAGAUGUUUUUAACCUUAACAUGUAUCUUAUUGUCGUGUGUGUGCGUGUAAACAACGAUGAACUUGUUGAAUCAAACACACAGUGAUGUGUGAUAUAAAUGGAUCAUUGUAAGAACAAUAUUCAUGUUAAAUUCAUUGAUUUAAGCACAGAUUAUUCAAACAUUUGAUUCAAACAUCUUCUUCAUUCAUCACAUAUGAUUAUUUAACUUAUAACUAUAAAAUCGUGGAGUCUUCACUCAUCCAGAUUGAAGGAUGUUGACGUCUGGCGUUCACACGGUGAGAGCAGGAACCUUGGGUGAGAAUGUUUGUUUGAUGUUUUGUCUUCAGGGAAUGUCAGCACGCGCUGAGCAGAACCUUCUGGAUUUAGAAGGUCACAUAGAAAGUGGAUUUAUGCUGUAGAUGAAAUGUCACUAUGUUGGUCAGUGCAGACGGUGAAAAAUUGGCCCUUUUGGACGUUACAACUCCCCCCUUUCCAAGGUCACGGGGUCAUGGCAGAAGUCCACGAGGCGUUGGACAAUCUUAGAGGCCCUGAGGACUCAGCAGAGGAAGACAGAGUUAGUUCUCAGGCACCGAAGCAUCAGGAGUGAGGAAUACAUAAUACUGUAUACUAGUGUGUGUGUGUGUGUGUGUGUGUGUGUGUGUGUGUGUGUGUGUGUCCAACUAGAAAAUAUUAAAAACAAGAGAAAAGACAAACAAAUAUGAAUAUAAACAACACAACAGACUUUCUUUAGACUAAAUAAGAGACAACGUCCACGUAAAGGGAAACACAUCGUAUAGUAUAAUAUAAAAUAUGUACUUUGUUUUGAGGUGAAGAUCAUUUAUACACCAGUGUAAUGAUAAUGUGUUUUUAGAAGUUUUAUUUUAGUUUAGCAGGUUUUUCUUUAGUUGGGUUCAUUUUAUGAUUUAAUAAGUUAUAAGGAUUAAAAUGUGCUUCACCAAGUUGACCUGACAGGUGAAGGGUUGAUAAAUAACAAAGAUGAGUGGCAUUCUGCUAAAAUAACAGUUUGAGCUAAAACUAAAGAGUGUUUCUCAUUCCUCUGAACUUUGACGUUGUAGAAAGUCUGAAUUAGUCAACAGACCCAAACUGUUUGAUGCUCUCUGCCCUCGACAGGCUGGCCUCCACAGGACAAUACGUUCAGAUCUUGUGGUCACAUUUGGCCCGUCACAACUCACCACAACAGUAAGCACCUGAAACAUCCACCGCCCUUUAAGACGGAUCUGGCAUAUCUCUCUUCUUGCAUCGGAAAUCAAUGGGCAGCAAAUUAUUUAUGGAAAAAUACACACAGGGCUGAAUUACUGUUGCUGGAGGCUGUUGGGAUUUAUCCUCACCACACAAAUCAUGCUAAGCUAGCAGCAGACGAGCGGCAGGUAACUCACUUUGAGGCAUGGCAGAAAUCAGUGUGUGUGUGUGUGUGUGUGUGAGUUUAUCUGCAUAAUCAACUCAAUACAGCAUAUUUGUGGCCCAAACCUAAUCAAUGACCCAGAAAAAACUUGAACUUUCAGGCUAGAGUACUCCCCUGAAAAAUGUGCUGAUUAUGUCUGGUGACCCAUUUGGAGCCGGUGUUGAUGCCUGUAUUGAUUGUAAUCAUCAUGGCUGUCACAACACAGAGCCACCAUCAACCCAGAUGGAACGGACCAGUCAACAAGCAGGUAGAACGUUACAGUGGCUUCGAAAUGCAUACCGGACAUAAAGACAUGUGCAGAGGAAGUUCUUAUGGGGAGACAAAAAUCUCACAUUUUGGGUCAGAAGCAGCAAGGAAAAUAAAAAUGUAGGAUAACAGUUGAAAGCUCAAACAUUUCUAGGACAGACGUGAACUGAGAGGCUAAACAGCUUUUUUCCAGCGGUGUCUAAAUGAUGGCUUUCAGGGCAUCAUUGGCCCUCAGUGUGAUUUAGUCUGGCCCGUGGCUGGAUGGUGAACUUUGGUCCCGCCUUCAUGGUGCCGACACUUCCUGACAAUGAACUGGCUUUCAUUUCCAAGACCAAAAACAGAAAACAAUUGACUCAUCAAGUCCAGGGAAUGUGAUGUUUGUCCUUUAUUAAAGCAACUCAUGAGUGUUUGAACACUUGAAGCUAUUGCUUUCAAACUGGCUUCAGUGGUUCUUAAGCCAGAAACCACCAGCUUCACACUGGAAAGCACUCGCCUGCUGAAAAAAACAGUAUAGUUAUUAGAUUUGUUGUGUUUUGGUGCUGGUUCGGCCAGUAUGCUGGUCAAAGUUAGGAUGCUGGUCUAGCUUUUCAUCAUCCAACACAUUCUCACUCCCAGCGUGUCAAAAACAAACGCUUGGUCAGCCACCCUCCACGUCAGACCCCAGACGCCAAAAGUGCCCUUUUUCGUUACUUAUGUGCGAAAAGAGGUUUUUCCCUUUUCUGACUGCAGAUCCCAAUGCAGCGUAAAACUGACGUGAUGAGAUAUCCGCUGAUGCGGCACCGAACCAGCUCAUUUAACCACACCUAAACCUUAACGUUUUGCUAUUUACAACCUUCCCCUCAUCCUAACCUUAACCCUCUUGCUACCUAAAACGUUACUCUCACUGUGAUCAAGCGUUUGUUUCCCAUGUAUUCUGACUGUGACGGUCAGAGUCUGACUGUCAGUUUUCAUAUUUGCCGCCCAAGGGGAACGUUAGAACAUACCAUCUGGCGAGGGGGAGGUUACACAUACCCUCUACUUUUAACCUCCACCGUGGUAGUUGAAACCUCCCCCUCGCACUGGCUCGGUCCAAACUCGACCAAUGACGAGGCGGCUCCCUCCGUUCACUUCAUAGAUCCGGCUAUUAGAGUGAUCGACACAUCACUAAUGUGUUCGCUAGCAAGAUGGAUAAGGUUAGGGUGAGGUACAAUGAGCUUGUUUGGUGCCCUGGCUGCGGACG